rnacentral:rRNA from 1 species
UACGUAGGGGGCAAGCGUUGUCCGGAAUUAUUGGGCGUAAAGCGCGUGUAGGCGGUCCGGUAAGUCGGUUGUGAAAGUCCGGGGCUCAACCCCGGGAGGCGGGUGGAUACUGUCGAGCUAGAGUCCGGAAGAGGCGAGUGGAAUUCCUGGUGUAGCGGUGAAAUGCGCAGAUAUCAGGAGGAACACCAAUGGCGAAGGCAGCUCGCUGGGACGGUACUGACGCUGAGACGCGAAAGCGUGGGGAGCAAACAGG